CCUACGGGAGGCUGCAGUAGGGAAUAUUGCGCAAUGGGGGAAACCCUGAAGCAGCAACGCCGCGUGGAGGAUGAAGGUUUUCGGAUUGUAAACUCCUUUUGUUAGAGAAGAUAAUGACGGUAUCUAACGAAUAAGCACCGGCUAACUCCGUGCCAGCAGCCGCGGUAAUAAGGAGGGUGCAAGGGUUACUCGGAAUCACUGGGCGUAAAGAGCGCGUAGGGGGGAUAGAAAGUCAGAGGUGAAAUCCCAGGGCUUAACCAUAGAACUGCAUUUGAAACUGUUAUUCUAGAGUAUUGGAGAGGUAGGUGGAAUUCUUGGUGUAGGGGUAAAAUCCGUAGAGAUCAAGAGGAAUACUCAUUGCGAAGGCGACCUGCUAGAACAUAACUGACGCUGAUGCGCGAAAGCGUAGGGAGCAAACAGGAUUAGAUACCCCGGUAGUC
rnacentral:rRNA from 1 species